UUCUCUAGUCUCAGAACUGCUUUGUAUAUUUGUAUUGAUUCAGAGGCACCCUCCCACCCCUUCCCUUCAUACUUGGAAGUGAUUGCUUGGCUCAACUUGAAGAAAGACAGACACAGAAACAGAUAUGUCACAGAGGGGAUCUAUUGUACAACAUGGUAACAGUGCUAAUGUCAACAGGGACCAGGGACCAGUGUAACUGAAAUGUAAAGGGGUCCACGCACUCAAAUGCCCACCCUGGGCCUCAUGUGACUCACACAAACUGUCUGAUCGCACACGAGAGUGGCCUAGAGAUAACCCUGACUCAUUCAUUCUCAUCUGGGGACUUUGGAGGGUUGUGAACCAGCCCUAGCACUGUACUUUCAAUGGGCUCUCACAGGGAAUAAGCACCUAGAUGUGCUAUCAAAGAUUAGAGGUAUGUAUGGUUUUAAAUGUCAAUAACAGUGCUAUUUCAUUUCAUAUUAAGAUGUCUACCAAA